UCCCCCUUAGCUCAGUUGGCUAGAGCGUCUGACUGUUAGCGCCUUCGGGCGAACGCAAAUCAGGAGGUCAUAAGUUCGAGCCUUAUAGGAGGAG